rnacentral:misc_RNA from 1 species
AAAAAAGAAUUCUUCUCUCGUGAUUACACCCAAAAGGUCGUCUACAAUAGUAACUUUGAUUUGUACAGUUCACCAUCAGCUAAUUGGAGGGAUACCGUCUUUGUUCAAAUGGCUCCUGAUCCUCCCAAGCCAGAAGAGUUGCCAGCCGCAUGCAGAGAUGUACUAAUGGAGUACUCCAAGGAAGCAAUGAAAUUAGGAAAUUUAUUGCUUGAAUUGUUUUCGGAGGCUCUUGGUCUGAACCCAAACCACUUGAAAGACAUGGA